AUGGAUCCUCAUCCACUUUCUAAUCUUUUUAAGAGAUCCAAUUAUGAUGAACCUAUUGCCAGUGAGUUGAGUGCACUAGAUUAUCUUUAUGAGAUUUUGCUUGAAAUCCGUGAAUAUGAAAAUUGUGAUGAAGUGCUUUAUGAAGUGAUUCACAAUAGAUCUUUGAAUGAAAAUCAUGAUUGCAAUGAUGUUAUUAUAAACUCUAUUAAAGUCAAUUAUGCUAAAAAUAUGCAAAACCCUAAGCUUGGGGAUGCUCAUUUUGCUAUGUCCACUAUUUGUUGCAAUGAUCAUGAUUGGGGUGAUUUUUCUUAUGAUCUUGAAAAUUUAUUUAUGCCUCAUGAUGAAUAUAUGAUUGAUAACAAUGUUUUCAAUAAUAUUUAA
rnacentral:rRNA from 1 species